ACUUUCCUUCCGCAGUGUGUCUGUUGACUGUCGCAGGUAUUCACCAGGGGCUGAAACAGUCGUACACCUUAUUUUGCAGGAAGUUCUUUCAGAAACUGGCUUUAGGGGCUUAACUGAACUUAAUACUAAAUCGUAUCCGUCAGAACCCCACCUGCGACUUUUUUUUUUUUUUCAUUCUUACCUGAGCAGGGAGAAUGCUGGGUGGGACACCGCAGUUCCAUGGUGGAGCCUAAGCGUCUUGUACAACAAAGGAUGGAUUUAAGGAUGACCGCAGGAGAACAAUACUUCCUUUGUUGUGGAAAAUCUCUGAUUUUUUUUUUUUUCCUCCUGAUUGUGGCUGCUGCUAGGGCUGUUUGUUCAUGUAAGUGUUUAUAGCAUGCCUUUGCACUUUGUCAGGGAAACUGGCCUUCCAUCCUGCCAUUUUGCAACAGGACUUCUGACUAUAUCUCAUGAAUCUAAUAAUAGACAUCGUGCCCACCACCUGUGCUUAAAAUCGUUGCCCCAUGGGUUUCACUCCAGUGCCAGCCCUCCUAGGGUGGUACCCACACUCAGAUCUGAAUGGGCACACCCCCUUCCUAACAACAUGGAAAUAUGUCAUUGAAAAAAGAAAGAAAAAAGAAAACCCAAACAACUUGCUCCUCCAUGA
rnacentral:lncRNA from 1 species